rnacentral:rRNA from 1 species
AUUGAACGCUGGCGGGAGGCUUAACACAUGCAAGUCGAACGAGUGGCGGACGGGUGAGUAAUGCUUGGGAAACUAGCUUAUGGCGGGGGAUAACUACGGGCAACUGUAGCUAAUACCGCGUACUAUAGGCGGGGCCCAAGUGGGAUUAGGUAGUUGGUGAGGUAAAGGCUUACCAAGACGACGAUCUCUAGCUGGUAUGAGAGGAUGACCAGCAACACUGGGACUGAGACACGGCCCAGACUCCUACGGGAGGUAGCAGUGGGGAAUAUUGCGCAAUGGGGGCAACCUGACGCAGCCAUGCCGCGUGAAUGAUGAAGGCCUUCGGGUUGUAAAGUUCUUUCGGUAGCGAGGCGUUAACUACAGAAGAAGCACCGGCUAACUACGUGCCAGCAGCCGCGGUAAUUC